rnacentral:rRNA from 1 species
CAAUAGCGUAUAUUAAAGUUGUUGCAGUUAAAAAGCUCGUAGUUGGAUUUCGGGAUGGCCCGGCCGGUCUGCCGCAAGGUAUGUUACUGGCCGAGCUGUUCUUCUUCGCAAAGACUGUGUGUGCUCUUAACUGAGUGUGCUCAGGAUCUGUGACGUUUACUUUGAAAAAAUUAGAGUGUUCAAAGCAAGCCAGCGCUUGAAUACAUAAGCAUGGAAUAAUGGAAUAGGACUUUGGUUCUAUUUUGUUGGUUUCUGGAACCUUAGUAAUGAUUAAGAGAGACAGUUGGGGGCAUUCGUAUUUCGUUGUCAGAGGUGAAAUUCUUGGAUUUACAAAAGACGAACUACUGCGAAAGCAUUUGCCAAGAAUGUUUUCAUUAA